rnacentral:ribozyme from 1 species
UGCCCAGCAACUCCUAUCCCUACCUCCACGUGGUACCGGCCGGAAACUAUGAGCAUCCUUAGGGAAGAUCGGGUAACCAACCCCGGUGGGAACUUGGUCGUAGGCUGACAGGGAAGA